GACGAACGCUGGCGGCGUGCUUAACACAUGCAAGUCGAACGGAAAGGCCCUGCUUUUGUGGGGUACUCGAGUGGCGAACUUGUGAGUAACACGUGAGUAACCUGCCCUUGACUUUGGGAUAACUUCAGGAAACUGGGGCUAAUACCUUAUAGGAGCUCCUGCUGCAUGGUGGGGGUUGGAAAGUUUCGGCGGUUGGGGAUGGACUCGCGGCUUAUCAGCUUGUUGGUGGGGUAGUGGCUUACCAAGGCUUUGACGGGUAGCCGGCCUGAGAGGGUGACCGGCCACAUUGGGACUGAGAUGCGGCCCAGACUCCUACGGGAGGCAGCAGUGGGGAAUAUUGCACAAUGGGCGGAAGCCUGAUGCAGCAACGCCGCGUGCGGGAUGACGGCCUUCGGGUUGUAAACCGCUUUCGCCUGUGACGAAGCGUGAGUGACGGUAAUGGGUAAAGAAGCACCGGCUAACUACGUG
rnacentral:rRNA from 1 species